AUCAGGCCUGGUCUACGCUACAGAGUUAAGUCGACGUAAGGCAGCUACACUAAAAUGUUGCUCCCCUGAUGUAGAUGGCUCACUACACCGACUUAAUAACUCCACCUCUGCAAGAGGUCAACGUACUUAGGUGGACACAGUGUCAGUGUAGACACUGCAUUACUUAUGUCGACUUUAAUGGUCUCCAAGAGAUGUCCCACAAUGCCCCACCAUGACUGCUCUUGGUCACCAUUUUGAACUCCACUGCCCGGUGGCCAGGAACACAGGUAUACGCCCCUCCCCUCUAACUCCCUGCAAAUGUUUGAAAUUCCAUUUCCUGUUGGUUCAGCAUGGAGAGCUCACCUAGCAACUGCCCAGCUGACUAUGCUGCAGAUGCGCUCCUGCCUGGAGUACGUAGGAGGUGGUGGAUCUCCCAGGUCUGAGGGGAGAAGAGGCUGUGCAGGCAUAGCUCCAAUCCAGCCAUGAAAACAUUAAUAUCUAUGAGCAGAUCACUCAAGGCUUGGUGGAGAAGGGCUAAAAGAGGGACCCUCAGCAGUGCCACAUGAAAGCCAAGGGGGUGCAGCAGGCCUACCAGAAAGCAAGGCAGGCUAAUAGUCACUGGUGCAGAGCCGCAGACAUGCCACUCUUACAGAGAGCUGCAUGGCAUUCUCGACGGAAACCCCCACCCGUAUGGAUACUUCAGAGGAGUCAGAGUUACUGGCCCCCGGAGUGAACAGUGAGGAGGUGGCGAUGGAUGAGGAAGAGGAGGAGGAGGAGAAUGGGGGACAGAUGAUCGGGGGAUCCAGUCCUGCAGCGAGCCAGGACCUCUUUUUGACUCCAGAGCAGUCGAGCCAGUCCCUACAGACCAGCACGAUGCAGGGGAAGGAACCUCUGCUGGAAAUGUGGCCUUGAGGAUGUUUUCGUCCACACCAGUGGAGCAGCUCAUCUGGAUAAGGAGGAGAAGGAAGAUGACGUGGGAUGACAUGUUCCAAGAGAUCCUGAAAGCCUCUGGUAUUUUGGAUACCGAGCACAGGGCUUGGAGGAUCGCCCUUGCAGACACAAUGGAUAGGGAUAGAGCGGAGAGGAGAAAAGCACAGGAAAAGAAGUGAGAUGUGCAGAAGGAGAUGCUACUGCUUCUCAAGCGGCACAUAGACAUGCCGGAGACUCCUGUUGACCUUCAGAUUCAACAAUCCCAUGCUCACCUCCUUCUGCAGCCCAUCGAGAACUGCAUUCCGGGACCUCCCUAAUCACCACCCCUGCAUUCCACAUGGCGUCUGGGGCUGCUACACUACCCCACCACUCCACCCAAGGGGAGAAUAUAGGCAAUCACAGCUGCACAUACACUGACCUGUGAGCGACACGGUUGGUGUAUGUUUUUGUGAAAUGGAAAUGACUGUUCUUUCCCCUUCAGAAGUUCUUUUCCCUGUAUUUAUAAAGUUUCAUUCACUUAUAAAUGUCUGUUUGCAUGAGUUUGAAAUAAAAGUCUAUUUAUGGAAA